CCUACGGGUGGCAGCAGUGAGGAAUAUUGGUCCAUGGGCGCGAGCCUGAACCAGCCAAGUAGCGUGAAGGAUGACUGCCCUACGGGUUGUACACUUCUUUUAUAAAGGAAUAAAGUGAGGCACGUGUGCCUUUUUGUAUGUACUUUAUGAAUAAGGCUCGGCUAACUCCGUGCCAGCAGCCGCGGUAAUACGGAGGAUCCGUGCGUUAUCCGGAGUUAUUGGGUUUAAAGGUAGCGUAGAUGGGUUGUUAAGUCAGUUGUGAAAGUUUACGGCUCAACCGUAAAAUUGCAAUGGAUACUGGCAGUCGUGAGUACAGUUGAGGUAGGCGGAAUUCGUGGUGGAGCGGUGAAAUGCUUAGAUAUCACGAAGAACUCCGAUUGCGAAGGCAGCUUACUAAACUGCCACUGACAUUGAUGCUCGAAAGUGUGGGUAUCAAACAGGAUUAGAUACCCCUGUAGUC
rnacentral:rRNA from 1 species